AGCACUCAACCGUUGAAAGUGUUACCACACCUUAAAAAUUUCAGUGUUAGUCAGAGUCCGAAUCGGAAUCUGUUGAAUUUUUCGAAAUAAACAAAGCCAAACUACGAUUGACCAAAAACCCAAAGACUACUGGAUCCUCACCAAUAAAAUACCACAAAAAAUACGCAAAAUUAAAUGAAGUGAAUAUAAAACUAAAACCACCCUGGGCCCUACCAUUGCCCAGGGUAGAAAAUCCUAGAGAACUUUCAUUGUGUUUUGUGCCAGGGCCAGAGCCCUAAUGAAAUUAAAGAUCUUUCAAUAAUGGCACUGCAGGAACCUAUAUACCUUUUAUUAAGCAAUGGAUCCCUCUUUUUUUGAAGAAAAUUCAGAAAAAUCAAGUUACUUUGAAGAAC
rnacentral:misc_RNA from 1 species